rnacentral:rRNA from 1 species
AUUGAACGCUGGCGGCAGGCCUAACACAUGCAAGUCGAGCGGAUGAAGGGAGCUUGCUCCUGGAUUCAGCGGCGGACGGGUGAGUAAUGCCUAGGAAUCUGCCUGGUAGUGGGGGAUAACGUCCGGAAACGGGCGCUAAUACCGCAUACGUCCUGAGGGAGAAAGUGGGGGAUCUUCGGACCUCACGCUAUCAGAUGAGCCUAGGUCGGAUUGGCUAGUUGGUGGGGUAAAGGCCUACCAAGGCGACGAUCCGUAACUGGUCUUAGAGGAUGAUCAGUCACACUGGAACUGAGACACGGUCCAGACUCCUACGGGAGGCAGCAGUGGGGAAUAUUGGACAAUGGGCGAAAGCCUGAUCCAGCCAUGCCGCGUGUGUGAAGAAGGUCUUCGGAUUGUAAAGCACUUUAAGUUGGGAGGAAGGUCAGUAAGUUAAUACCUUGCUGUUUUGACGUUACCAACAGAAUAAGCACCGGCUAACUUCGUG